rnacentral:rRNA from 1 species
UACGUGAGGGGCGAACGUUGUUCGGUGUCACUGGGCUUAAAGGGCGCGUAGGUGGUUGCGUAAGUAACGUGUGAAAGCCCUCGGCUUACCCGGGGAAUUGCGCGUUAUACUGCGUGACUUGAGGAUCUCAGGGGAAGGGGGAACUCCAGGUGUAGCGGUGAAAUGCGCAGAUAUCUGGGGGGAAGGCCGGCGGCGAAGGCGCUUCUGGGAGAUCCUGACACUGAGGCGCGAAAGCGUGGGGAGCAAACAGG